rnacentral:rRNA from 1 species
UGGUAGUGUAUUGGACAACCAUGGCAGUCACGGGUAACGGAGAAUUAGGGUUCGAUUCCGGAGAGGGAGCCUGAGAAACGGCUACCACAUCUACGGAAGGCAGCAGGCGCGUAAAUUACCCAAUCCCGAUUCGGGGAGGUAGUGACAAGAAAUAACAACUCGGGCGGCGCAAGCCGUUGCGAGAUUGCAAUGGGUACAAUUUAAAACACUUAACGAGUAACAAUUGGAGGGCAAGUCUGGUGCCAGCAGCCGCGGUAAUUCCAGCUCCAAUAGCGUAUAUUAAAGUUGUUGCAGUUAAAAAGCUCGUAGUCGAAGUUCUGGCUGGUCCUGUUUCCGGCUUCGGUCGACUCAGGACCUAGUCAUCCGUCGGAGAACCCUUGUCGUCCUUUACUGGUCGCUUGGGGGAACUGACCCUUUACUUUGAAAAAAUUAGAGUGUUUCAGGCAGGCUCUCGCCCGAAUACUCCAGCAUGGAAUAAUGGAAUAGGACUUUCUUCUAUUUUGUUGGUUAUUAGUGGAAAGUAAUGAUUAAUAGGGACAGUUGGGGGCAUUCGUACUUAAUUGUCAGAGGUGAAAUUCUUGGAUUUAUUAAAGACGAACUAAUGCGAAAGCAUUUGCCAAGGAUGUUUUC